rnacentral:tRNA from 1 species
GCCGAAGUGGUGGAACUGGUAGACGCAGCGGACUCAAAAUCCGCCGGGGGCAACCCUGUGAGGGUUCAAGUCCCUCCUUCGGCA